rnacentral:rRNA from 1 species
AUUGAACGCUGGCGGCAGGCCUAACACAUGCAAGUCGAGCGGUGGAGGGGAGCUUGCGCCUGGAUUCAGUGGCGAACGGGCGAGUAAGUCCUAGGAAUCUGCCUGGUAGUGGGGGAUAACGUACCGAAACGGGAGCUAAGAUCGCAUACGACCUGAGCGUGAAAGUGGGGGAUCAUGUGACAUCACGCUAUUAGAUUAGCCUAGGGCGGAUUAGUUAGUGGGUGGGGUAAAGGCCGACCAAGGCGACGAUCAGUAACAGGUUUGAUAGGAUGACCGGUAACAUUGGACCUGAAACCCGGCCCAGACUCCUACGGGAGGAAGCAGUGGGGAAUAUUGGCCAUUGGGCGAAAGCUUGAUCCAGCCCUGCGGGGUGGGGGAAGAAGGUCUUCGGUUGGUAAACUCUGUUGAGUUGGGAGGAAGGGCGGUAAGUUAAAACCUUGCUGUUUUGACGGUACCAACAGAGAAAGCACCGGCUAACUUCGUG